rnacentral:rRNA from 1 species
CCUACGGGUGGCUGCAGUGGGGAAUUUUGGACAAUGGGGGCAACCCUGAUCCAGCCAUUCCGCGUGAGUGAAGAAGGCCUUCGGGUUGUAAAGCUCUUUCGCAAGGGAAGAAAACUUACUCAAUAACACUGGGUGAGGCUGACGGUACCUUGAUAAGAAGCACCGGCUAACUACGUGCCAGCAGCCUCGGUCAUACGUAGGGUGCGAGCGUUAAGCGGAAUUACUGGAGGUAAAGUUUGAGCAGGCGUGUGAAAUCCCCGGGCUCAACCUGGGAACUGCGUUUGAAACUACAAGGCUAGAGUAUGGCAGAGGGGGGUAGAAUUCCACGUGUAGCAGUGAAAUGCGUAGAGAUGUGGAGGAAUACCAAUGGCGAAGGCAGCCCCCUGGGUCAAUACUGACGCUCAUGCACGAAAGCGUGGGGAGCAAACAGGAUUAGAUACCCUGGUAGUC